rnacentral:rRNA from 1 species
UACGGGGGGAGCAAGCGUUGUUCGGAUUUACUGGGCGUAAAGGGCGCGUAGGCGGCCAGCACAAGUCAGUUGUGAAACCUCCGAGCUUAACUCGGAACGGUCAACUGAUACUGUGCGGCUAGAGUGCGGAAGGGGCAACUGGAAUUCUUGGUGUAGCGGUGAAAUGCGUAGAUAUCAAGAGGAACACCGGUGGCGAAGGCGGGUCUCUGGGCCGAUACUGACGCUGAGGAGCGAAAGCGUGGGGAGCGAACAGG